rnacentral:lncRNA from 1 species
UUCAAGAAAAACUUAUUUCUCUCUUACAUAAUCUCUCUCUAAGAAGCUUUUUCUCUCUCUUCUUAUCAAAGUUCUAAUCAUUUAAGAAGAGAAAAUUGGUCUAAGCAUAUUGAGAUAGGUUGUUUGAUUUAAUUUAGUUGAAUUAUCUCUUGCUUAUUUAUAUUUAUAGAUAUACGAAUAUACAUUAUUAUACAGAAUUCUAUAUAUCUAUAUUUCAUCUAUUUAUCAAAUAAAGGAUACUUGGGCGCCGCAAG